UGAAUUGUUUUGUGGAUUCAUCCGCGACCACCAACCAGCACGAACUAACGCAUGCGUAAUUGGCCGGUCAUCCGUUCAAGCCGGCGUGGCUUGAGGCUGGCUGAUGUGACUUACUUAGUUAUGGCGGCCGCGGAAGGGUCGUUGCAGAGCCUGGGAGAACCUGAAGUGCUUGAAAUGUAUCUCCCUAUCACUGUCAUUGAGUUGAGUGAUAAUGAUUUUUUGGAAAGUGAAGAUGAAGAACAGGCGACUUGGGGUGAAGAUGGCUGUCUAAAACUGCAUGCCAAAAGAGGCAGGAGGGCCGAAAGUGAAGAUGAGAAUUAUCUGAGUGCUGCCCUAAAAAGGAAUUAUGGAGAGGAACAAACUGGGCCAGCUGGAGAUGUUAAAAUGAAGGAAGGUCAUCAAGAAAUGCCUGUUUGUGAGAACCUAAAUUCAGUCCAAAUGGUUUUAUUUCAGAAUUCGUUGGAUAAUUCUGAGCCCAGUCAAAAUUGGGCAAUGAGCCGUUUAAACCUCAGGAAGCAUAAUGGAAUAGAAAACGAAUAUGUGACAAUAAAUCAAGUAGAGUGUGAUCACAACUAUCAUCAAAGGAUAGUGUCUCCGCUUUUGAGCACUCGGGAUAAAGGUAUUGCCCUUUUGGUUGCUGUAUUUAAUGAAAGUGACAACAGACCUAGAAAGAGUGAUAUCCCUGAGGAUGAAAUGUUUAUGGUUAGCAAUUCGGAUUGUGAUGUUGUAGAUGAAAACCAACAAUGUUCCUCAUCUUUUGUUAAUGGUGAUUAUUCUCUGGGAGAGUUUCCAGAAGCUGGUGGAAGUUUGACAAGGGAUAAUUGUGCUAACCAUGAGCCAGAUGCUGCUGGACAUUUGGUUCACCCCCCCGUAUUUGAUUGCCCUGAUACUUGUGAUAAACAAGAAGACCUUGAUGGUUCUAAUGAGAAUAAAGAAUGUAGCCAACACCUGCAGGUAGAGCAACCAGAAGAGGCAUCACUGCCAAGUAAUGAGCCCAAAAGCAACACUCCAGUGAUGACAUCCAUGAAGAAGCAUGCUAAAAUGAUAUGGGCUUGGAAAUGCUUAUUUUGUCAUAUUAAAACCACAUCCUCUGUUUAUCUACGAAAACACAUUUAUACUACACAUAAGGGUAAAAAACCCCACAAGUGGAAAUUUUGCUGGAGAAUAUUCUUUUCUUCCAGCUAUAGGUUUUAUAUGAAAAAAAUAGGUUUUAUAGUAAAAAAGAGAAGGAAAAAUAUAAGUGAUAAAGGAAGAGAAGAAAGGGGAAAGGAUAAAGCAGUUGCGAAGAAAAAGAACAAGACUAAGAACAUAAAGAAAACCAAGUAUGGGAAAUUCUUCAGCAAAAUAAGAGCACCAAAGCCUUUAAAGAGCUUCUGUUGCAGAAUAUGUACCUUUGCUUCUCCCAAUCCAAAACAAUUUACACACCAUAUGAAGGAGCAUAAUGUUAGACCACCUUUUGAGUGUCCUCAGUGUGAAUAUACUUCUUACAAUCGGUCAUACAUGUUCAGCCACUUGUACUGGCACGCUGGCUAUUUGGUAUACAGAUGCGAAUUCUGUGCAUAUUUUUCUCUGUAUUUCAGUAGCAUGGUAAAACACAGCUACCUGCAUACAGGUGCAAGACCUUAUUUCUGUGAUGUCUGCCAGCUGCGGUUCACAACUUCAAGUGGCUUAAUGAAACAUACAAAUAAACACUGCCAAGGACAGAAAGGCAAUGACUUGACUAUUGCUCAGAAGGGAAUUCUGAGCUCUGCAAAGAAGUAUAUGUGUUAUAAGUGCAGCAAAGUGUGUUACACACAGAAACAUCUUGAAUUUCAUCUGAAAUAUCACUUAGCAGUGCAGGACUAUGAUAAACCAUUUUCAAAUGACAGUAUUAAAGAACGCAAGAAGGAGGGGAAAAAAAGUUGUCAAAAGACUAUGGUUCUGCAUUCUUCGGACCAUGAGAAAACGGUAAGCUUUCCUCAGUCAAAUAAAGAGCUGAGUCCAGGAGCAGAAUAUGAACAGGAAGAUGGCUCACAGGCGAAAAAAAACCACUGGCUAAGCAAGUCAAAACCUUUUCCAAAUCCUCACGUUUGUGAUCAUUGUCACUUAGUGUUCCACAAAGAAGAACAUUUGCUGUACCACAAAGCCACUCAUUUACAAGUUCAACCAAGUCAGAAUGUAACUUGUAAUAACCAGGAAUCAGAAGGAAAUGGCAGGUUGCCUGUGAUGCAUCCCUCUCAUGGACCAACUCUUAAACUGUUCAAGUGUCAGCAGUGUACUUAUACCACUUGCUCAUUCAGCAACUUGCGGGUACAUUUUAGUAUCCACACUGGUGAAAAACCAUUUGAAUGUCAAGAGUGUGAGAAAUCUUUCCGACUCCGCAGCCACUUAAAAAGGCAUACUUUGAUGCACUUGAUGAAACGUUACAAAUGCAACCGGUGCUUUUUCAUAGGCACAACUGUAGAAGAUCUUAAACUGCACCAGGAAGCUUGCAAGGAUGCAGGUUCAGCAAAAAAGAGACUUCAAUCAUCAUCCUUAAAAUAUCAGACUGUGGACAAACAAAAGUGUGCAGCCAAGGGAAAACAAAACACAAGCAGUCUCAUAUCACAAGAAAUACCUUUUCAUAAAUGUAAGCAAUGUAAUUAUGCCACCUACAUAUUGGAUCACCUAAAGAGUCACAAAAGGACACACACAGGUGAAAAGCCAUACAGUUGUGAUGUUUGCCAGAAGAAAUUUCGCACAUCGAGUCACCUGAAGCGGCACACAUUUGUACAUCAGGAUCUGACAUCCCUCCAGUGUGGCAGUUGUGACUAUUCAACAGGCAACUUGGAAUCCCUUAAACACCACAUGGCCUCACAUGCAGAUAUAAAACCUUCACUUAGUGGCUGGUCUCAGAAACAACCUUCUUUGCCUGUCAAAAUAUAUAAGUGUGAAGAGUGUAGCUACACAACUAUUCGAAAUGAAAACUUGAAGAUACACUUGCGGAUACAUACAGGCGAGAAGCCAUGUAAAUGUUCUCAUUGCAGCCUAGCCUUCCGGACACUUAGCCACUUAAACCGCCACUUAGCCACACAUUCAAACAUACAGUGCGACAAAUGUGGGUUUUCUGCCAGAAACAAGAAUGCCCUGCGGAAGCACACAAAAAUUCACAAGGAGAAACAAAGCCGUAAGGCUAAGAAAGUUUACAAAUGCACAGAGUGUAGGCUCACAUUCUAUACAUCACGCCUUUUGAGUGUACACCAGAAAAAACAUAAGAAAAUAAAAGAAAAUUGAGGAUUAUCCUCUCGCAUGAGUCGAGUCCAGAAAGUUUUUGAUUUGUCCCUGCUUGACUCGGACGUGCAGUCUGUUUUGUCCCCAAAUUAUUUAAAUGGACUGUGCCUUUAUUGCAUAAGAAAUCUUGUUGCCAAAAUGCCAUAAUGAUUAACUUGGAAUGUUGCCAGAAUGCAUACAGUAUAAAUCAAUGGCUGAUGAAUAAUGUAGAAUAGCUGCUUCUGCUAUUACUAGAAAGAACAAGUUCCUACUUUUAAACUAAGAUGGCUGUAGCAUCAGUUCAUAGUCUUAUCUUCCCAUUUUGAUAAAUAGCAUGGUGACUUUAUAUACACUGUGAAAAUGAGUGGCAUACACAAUUCUGUGUUGAUCAGAGGUUUCAGUUUGAACUUUAACUACAGCCAACAAACAUUGGAGCUGACUAAGAACUUUUUGAUUUGAUCUGGUUUUCAAAUCAAGUUCCUCUUUAGUUUCUUAGUUAAUAGAAAAUACUGAAAAUAAGGUGGUCUGCUAACCAAAAUUGGCAUGACUUUGGCAUUAAGAAUGGUAACAGCUUACUAAACAUGCAAUAAGACUAUUUUGAAAAAGGAAACUCAGAUGCUUGCAACUGAUCAGAAAAUGGGAGGUUUCUAUACAUUCACUUAGACAAAAUGCAAAGUGUUGGGAUAUUUUUGCGUUGGUCAGUUUGGUUGAGAAUGUAUGAAGAACUGUGUGUGCGUGUGUGUGUGUGUGCACUGAUUAAAUGCUAGUCUAGUUGGAUAAGUGUGUGUGUGUGUAGCUUUUCAGUGAUGGUCCCUGGGUAUUAAACACUACAAAUGAAGAAAUAUGCAAAGUGUAAAGUGCACAACAACUUGUGCUGACUGCUAUACUAAUGUAUCUGAACAUUUCACUCAAAGGUGCAUUUCAUUGUUACUAAAAUUUACAAUAAUAGUUGCAAUUCUCUCCUGCUGAGAAUUUAGAGGCCUCGUUUUCCCUAUAUUUUUCCAGUAGUUUUGUGCCAGUCGAUGUUUUAAACAUUGCAUUUCAGUGGCAAUUACUCAAGAUUUGAAUGAUAGUCUCUUGAAGAGUAUUGAGCAAACUCUGAUAAACUUCUUUAUUUUUGUAAGAAGCAGAGUAGUACUGCUGUAAAGCUGCUUUAGGUCUAUAUAUGUCACAAGAACUACUAAUAGAAAAGAUGGGUUUUGAAGGGUAGGCUUCUGGCAUAUUGAAGAUAAGUUAGAAUUCUGAAUUAAUAAACUUAAUGUAACUGGAUUAAGUCACAUUCCCUCUAGACUUUAUACCAAAUGCUUUCAACACAGUGUUAUCAAAAUGCUUUAUGUCAAGGGAUUUUCUGUAUAUGUUAGAAAGUACAGAGAGGCUUGUGUCCAUGUUCCAUGAUUACUACAAGGAAAGCUGGAACAUGACUUUGCCAUUUGCAAGAAAUAGAAACUCCUUGAUUCUUUUAAUUUGUGAAGCCACAGUAGACAAAAAUUUUCAUCUAAAUGAUUUUGCUCUUUACCCGAGCCAGAGAUGUCUCCUUGAACUAUGCUCUGGGGCACCCUUCAAGCAUAGUAAACCCUCUGAAGAAGCAAGGACAGGACAUGGACUCAGCACUGCUAAUCCCUCCACAAUGAGAAAGGGGACUUCUGGUAUCAAAAUGAGUGCGGUGACAUCUGUGCUGUUCUGACAGUCUGGUAAAAUUUAAAGCAAAAUACUUGUAAAAUAUCUUCUAAAAAAAGAGGUGCAAAGGAUUCUACAACAAAGAGGUCUCUUUAUUGACUACAGAAAAGCCUUCAAUUGUGUCGACCAUAUCAAAUUAUGGAAUAUCCUUAGGAAAAUGGGUGUCCCAGAACAUCUAAUUGUUCUCAUGAGAAACCUAUACACAGGACAGGAAGCUGCAGUCCAGACAGAACAUGGUGUGAAAGACUAGUUCCAGAUCAGCAAAGGAGUAAGACAAGGCUGUAUACUUUCUUCUUAUUUAUUCAACUUAUAUGCUGAACAUAUACUGAUGGGAACUAGAUUGGAAGAAGAUGAGUGUGGUUUUAAAGUUGGAGGAAGAAACAUCAAUAACCUGCACUACGCUGAUGACACCACUCUGCUAGCUGAGAAUGCGGAUGAUCUGCAAGCUCUAGUAAUGAAAAUCAAGGAGCACAGUGAAAAAAUGGGACUACAAUAAAUGUAAAGAAAACUAAUGACAAUGGGUACAGCAACCAGCUUCAGAAUUGAUAAUGAAGACAUUGAAGUGGUGGAUAGCUUCUGCCUUCUAGGAUUGACCAUCAAAAGUAAAGGAUCCAGCAUUCAAGAAAUAUGCCACAGAUUAUAGCACUUGGAAGGGUUGCAAUGAAGGCCUUGGUUAGGAUAUUUGGUUGCCAUGACGUGUCUAUACCUACAAAGAUUAGAAUUGUUCAGACAGUAGUUUUUCCCGUGACACCCUAUGAAGAAGCAAGAUUAAAAAGUAUUGAUGCUUUUGAACUUUGGUGCUGGAGAAGACUUUUGAGGAUACUAUGGACAGCCAGGAAAACAAACAAAUGGAUCAUAGAACAAAUCAAUCCAGAAUUCUCACUCGAGGCACAAACUAUCAUACUUUGGAUACAUUAUGUGAAGACUCAGCUCCCUUGAGAAGUCCAUAAUGCUGGGGAAAGUUGAAGGAAAGACGACAACCAGCAAUAAGGUGGAUGGACUAGAUGACGACAGCAAUGAAUGCACCACUGAGAGAUCCUAAAGGCCAAGUUGAAGACAGAUCAUCCUGGAGAGAAUCUAUGUGGUUAGUAGGAGUCAACACUGACCUGAUGGCACUUGAUCGAUCGAUCAAUCAAAAUAGUAUGAUUGUGUGUACGUUCCUUAAAAAUGCAUACUUGACUGAAUGCAAGCUGAUGUUAUGAAUCUCAUCAGUGAAUACAAAUAAAAGCAUAGGCUGCCACAGGAGGGAGAAGGGACCAUGAUAGAGCUGACAUUACAUGUUUGUUUAAUGUAUUGAGCUGUACUACCUUCAGAUGCAAUAGGAAGUCUCAAGCUUUUACUUUUUAUUGAACAGUAUUGAACACUGUAUUUAAGCAAAGGCUAAUGACAAAAAGUUGUUUUCCUAUGUGACAAACUGUGAAUGUUAAACCUGGCCUCUAGGCUAUAAAAUGUGCUUCACCUAUGGCUGCUCCAUGCAUAGACAGUGGCGCUUUCUACAUGAUAAGCUCUUUUGGGAUGAAUUAUUGAAAUACAUAGUUGCAUUGGACAUCUAAAUGUCUUGCAGAAACUUAUGUUUCCUCUUGAGUGCUCUUGUAUCAAGAUGCCAUCAUGUCAUAUGAUACUGCAUACCCUAUUUUGGGAUGGACAGAUAACUGUAAAUGUUAAGAUGUACCUAUUUUAAAAUUUUGCUGAAUUGGCUGUGUGUGUGUUCUUUUAGAGAAGUGUAAUUCUUCCAUGAGACUUUGUAUUAGCUUCUUAGUAUGCAAUUAUUAGGUGUAAACUGUUGCUGAUAUUCAUAUUAGAAACUGGCAGAAUUAUUAAUACUACAUUUAAGAUGGUGAACAAAAACCAUGUUUCAAAUAAUAAAAUCCACUUUCUUGCUCUUUAAA